rnacentral:rRNA from 1 species
CAGAAUCCCAGCCUAGACGUAACGAUACCAUAGCGCCGCGGAACUUCGGUUGGCCCCGGAUAGCCGGGCCCCCUCCCGGGGGGGCCCCGGUGAGCAGAGCCGUUCGUGACAGGGCUGGGGCGCGGCCGGACGAUGGCCGCCCCUCUCCUGACUCGCACCGCACGUUUGUGGAGAACCUGGUGCUAAUCACUUGCAGACGACCUGAUUCUGGGUCAGGGUUUCGUACGUAGCAGAGCAGCUCCCUCGCUGCGAUCU